AUGUCCUCCGGGGCUAGCGCGAGCGCCCUGCGGCGCCUGGUGGAACAGCUCAAGCUGGAGGCUGGCGUGGAGAGCAUGUCUCUCAGGCAGCUGCAGAGCUUCAACAGUACUGUAUGCAGAAUGCCUGCAAGGAUGCCCUGCUGCUGGGUGUUUCAGCUGGAAGUAACCCCUUCCGGAAGCCCAGAUCCUGUGCUUUACUCUGAAGACUCUAGGAGAGAAGUUAGCUGAGGAAUGCCUUCAAGCACAAAGUGAUGAAUGACUGCCUUCAAGUCUCAAGAAAACACUUUUCCCUAACUUUUAGAGAUAUUUCAGCCAUUUCCUGUGGCCUGGUCCUAUAGCCAAAAUCACAGAAAUUCAUGAGUUUCUACUUGAGUGAGGAAACUGGGUAAAGGAAUAGAGUUUUAAAUAGUAAUAGGUUUUUUUUUGUGCAAGUACUUUUAUACAUAAGAUAAACAAAAACCUUACUACCAAACAUACCAAAAUACACCUCUUUCAUAAGUGAGUUACUAAGAUUUCUAUACCUGGAAUAUCAUGUAUGUUUCAUUUACUGGAUGUUCACAUUUUAGGAAGGAAAAUAGUUUUGUUUAUUUAAACAACUGAAUACUUGUAAACUGUUGUUCCUGGAA